rnacentral:hammerhead_ribozyme from 1 species
CUACCACUGAGGAGUCCCACAAUAGGACGAAACGUCCAUCCCGUAC